AUUGAACGCUGGCGGCAUGCCUUACACAUGCAAGUCGAACGGCAGCAUAGGAGCUUGCUCCUGAUGGCGAGUGGCGAACGGGUGAGUAAUAUAUCGGAACGUGCCCUAGAGUGGGGGAUAACUAGUCGAAAGACUAGCUAAUACCGCAUACGAUCUACGGAUGAAAGUGGGGGAUCGCAAGACCUCAUGCUCCUGGAGCGGCCGAUAUCUGAUUAGCUAGUUGGUGGGGUAAAAGCCUACCAAGGCAACGAUCAGUAGCUGGUCCGAGAGGACGACCAGCCACACUGGGACUGAGACACGGCCCAGACUCCUACGGGAGGCAGCAGUGGGGAAUUUUGGACAAUGGGGGCAACCCUGAUCCAGCAAUGCCGCGUGAGUGAAGAAGGCCUUCGGGUUGUAAAGCUCUUUUGUCAGGGAAGAAACGGUAGUAGCUAAUAUCUACUACUAAUGACGGUACCUGAAGAAUAAGCACCGGCUAACUACGUGCCAGCCGCCGCA
rnacentral:rRNA from 1 species